UAGGAGGCAAGCGUUAUCCGGAAUGACUGGGCGUAAAGGGUGCGUAGGUGGUUCAGCAAGUUAGUAGCGUAACUCCGGAGCUCAACUUCGGAACUACUACUAAAACUGUUGAACUUGAGUGUAGGAGGGGCAACUGGAAUUCCUAGUGUAGCGGUGGAAUGCGUAGAUAUUAGGAGGAACACCAGUGGCGAAGGCGAGUUGCUGGACUGUAACUGACACUGAGGCACGAAAGCGUGGGGAGCAAA
rnacentral:rRNA from 1 species